GGUUAUGUGUGACGACCCCCUGAAUUUAAGCAUA
rnacentral:rRNA from 1 species